AGAGUUUGAUCCUGGCUCAGAUUGAACGCUGGCGGCGUGCUUAACACAUGCAAGUCGUGCGAGAAAGGGGACUUCGGUUCCUGAGUAGAGCGGCGCACGGGUGAGUAACGCGUGGGUGAUCUACCCGGAAGUCUGGGAUAACGGUGGGAAACUGCCGCUAAUACCGGUUAAUCUUCCAAUUCGAAUUGGAGGGAAAGACGGCCUCUGCUUGCAAGCUGUCGCUUUCGGAUGAGCCCGCGUCCCAUUAGCUCGUUGGCGGGGUAACGGCCCACCAAGGCAACGAUGGGUAGCUGGUCUGAGAGGAUGAUCAGCCACACUGGGACUGGAACACGGCCCAGACUCCUACGGGAGGCAGCAGUGGGGAAUAUUGCGCAAUGGGGGAAACCCUGACGCAGCGACGCCGUGUGAGGGAAGAAGGCCUUCGGGUCGUAAACCUCUGUCGGGAGGGAAGAACCGCCGGGUUCCGAACAGGGACUCGGCCUGACGGUACCUCCGAAGGAAGCGCCGGCUAACUCCGUGCCAGCAGCCGCGGUAAUACGGAGGGCGCGAGCGUUAAUCGGAAUCACUGGGCGUAAAGCGCGCGUAGGCGGCCAGAUAAGUCGGGCGUGAAAGCCCUCGGCUCAACCGAGGAACUGCGUUCGAUACUGUUUGGCUUGAGUCCUGGAGAGGGUGGCGGAAUUCCGGGUGUAGGAGUGAAAUCCGUAGAUAUCCGGAGGAACACCGGUGGCGAAGGCGGCCACCUGGACAGGUACUGACGCUGAGGUGCGAAAGCGUGGGGAGAGAACAGGAUUAGAUACCCUGGUAGUCCACGCUGUA
rnacentral:rRNA from 1 species